GAUGAACGCUAGCGGCAGGCCUAACACAUGCAAGUCGAGGGGCAUCGAGAUGUAGCAAUACAUUGUCGGCGACCGGCGCACGGGUGCGUAACGCGUAUGCGACCUACCUAUAACAGGGGGAUAACCCAGAGAAAUUUGGACUAAUACCCCAUAUUAUUAUUGAGCUGCAUGGUUUGAUAAUGAAAGACUUUGGUGGUUAUAGAUGGGCAUGCGUGACAUUAGCUAGUUGGUAAGGUAACGGGCUUACCAAGGCGACGAUGUCUAGGGGAACUGAGAGGUUAAUCCCCCCGACACUGGUACUGAGACACGGGACCAGACUCCUACGGGAGCAGCAGUGAGGAUAUGGUCAAUGGUCGAAGACUGAACCNGCCAUGCCGCGUGAAGGAAGAAUGUCCUAUGGAUUG
rnacentral:rRNA from 1 species